rnacentral:rRNA from 1 species
CGGCGGACGGGUGAGUAACACGUGGAUAACCUACCUAUAAGACUUGGAUAACUUCGGGAAACCGGAGCUAAUACCGGAUAAUAUCUUGAACCGCAUGGUUCAAAGUUAAAGACGGUCUUGCUGUCACUUAUAGAUGGAUCCGCGCUGCAUUAGCUAGUUGGUAAGGUAACGGCUUACCAAGGCAACGAUGCAUAGCCGACCUGAGAGGGUGAUCGGCCACACUGGAACUGAGACACGGUCCAG